UGACCACCAUUUAUUGGUUAAGGCCAUGCGGACAGCCGGGUCAACUGCCGA
rnacentral:sRNA from 1 species